GACGAACGCUGGCGGCGUGCUUAACACAUGCAAGUCGAACGGAAAGACCCUGCUUUUGUUGGGUUCUCGAGUGGCGAACGGGUGAGUAACACGUGAGUAACCUGCCCUUGUCUUUGGGAUAACUUCAGGAAACUGGGGCUAAUACCGGAUAGGAUCUCCUGCCGCACGGUGGGGGUUGGAAAGUUUCGGCGGUUGGGGCUGGACUCGCGGCUUAUCAGCUUGUUUGUGGGGUAGUGGCUUACCAAGGCUUUGACGGGUAGCCGGCCUGAGAGGGUGACCGGGCACAAGGGGACUGAGAUAGGGACCAGACGCCUACGGGAGGCAGCAGUGGGGAAUAUUGCACAGUGGGCGGAAGCCUGAUGCAGAAACGCCGCGUGCGGGAUGACGGCCUUCGGGUUGUAAACCGCUGUCGCAGGUGACGAAGCGUGAGUGACGGUAAUGGGUAAAGAAGCAACGGCUAACUACGUG
rnacentral:rRNA from 1 species